GAAGCGAUUCGGAUAAUAAGAAAAACCGCAGAAUUUGAAAACCGGCCUUGAACCGACGAACCGGCCGGUUACCGAUCGGUCGAACCGAACCGGAACCCGGCCGGUUUUUUAACCUUGCAGCAAAACGCCGCCGUUUUGUGUUGUGGGAACCCUAAUUCCCUUCUCCCCUUCGCAGCCUCCACUUCGUCCAGCCUCCAGUUUCUCAGUUCUCAUCACUCCAGCCUCCCACAGAACAGAACAACACCCACGACUCCACGAGGCCCUCAACGCACUCACCGCCGUCGCACUCACCUCAACGCACUCACCUCCGUCGCGCUUCAGCACCGUCACGCCGUCACCAGCGUCGCGCCGUCAGCUCCGUGGCGCUGUUGGGUCCGUCGCGCCUUCCGAUACCUCGCGCAGUCAGCACCUUCCCGCCGUCAGCUCCGUCGCGCACACAGCUCCGUCGCGCCCUCAGCCACUUCGCAUGUCACCUCCGUCGAGCUCUGCCUCUGAAAAAGCAAUAGAGAAGCGUUGAAGCGUUGAAGCGUUGUCCUUCGAGCUCUGAGAGAAAGCAAUAGAUUUCCUCAUUUCCAGAUUGUUUGAUGAACGGCCUAUAUGGUCCAAAAAUGCUCUUACUGAACGCUUGCUUGAUAUCGGCUUAAGAUUUACACAUAGCAAGCUUAGAAGGCUUUUGUCUAGAAUUUCCUACUACUUUUUCAAUGGACCAUUUCUAAGGUUCUGGAUCAAGAAAGGAUAUGAUCCACGCAAAGAUCCUGAUUCUCGCAUGCUAAAACCUAGAUGGGAAGAUAUAUGCACCUUUCGAGCAUUCCCUUACAAGAUGCAGACAUCUUUACAGUAAUUCGAGCUUGUUGAUGAUUAUAUUCAAUCAGAAAUAAAUAAGCCUCCAUCACAGGCAUCUUGCACUUGAACCAGUAGCUAGAGCGGUUUGAUGACCGGUUCGAUUUUCAGAACCUUGAUUAUGCAACAAAGCAGGCCUCACUUUUACAACGAUUCAGAUGUAUGAGAUAUGUUGACUGAAUUAGGUUUGAUGCUCUUUUUCAUUUCAUGACUGAUGCUGGUGUUCGCUUAGGAGAUGUGAUACUUCUAGAAAACAUUCACCAUUACAGCCCCAUCGAUGCAUCAACAACAUGAGACGGCAGCACGGGAUGAUUUUGGAUGAUAGGAUCGUUCCUUACUUGCAGAUGGCUGGUCUUUACCAUCUUGCAAGAUUGAACGAGCGCUGGUUUUGGUUGGACGAGCCGUUGGUCAGCGCCUUCGUAGAGCAAUGGCACCCCGAGACGCAUACAUUCCACAUGCUAUUUGGCGAGUGCACGAUCAUACUACAGGAUGUAGCGUACCACCUUGGUCUCCCGAUCGACGGUCAGUAUGUUAGCAGAUGCCUGACAGACUUUCCACGAUAUAUUGAGGGUGGCCGACCACCAUGGGUUUGGUUUGAGGAGCUGCUUGAGGUAUUCCUCAUGCGAACUACAUCGACAAGUUCACAGUGAAGUGCACAUAGUUUGAGGAGACGUUUAGUGAGCUUCCACAGGGGGCAGAUGAGGAGACGAUUAGGAGGUAUGCCCGUGCGUACAUGAUGAUGCUCCUAUCGAUGCAGCUGUUUGGGGACAAGUCAGGUACCCGCCUCCAUAUCCGAUGGCUGCCGUACCUCGCCAGGUUGGAGGACAUGGGUCAGUACAGUUGGGGUUCUGCUACGUUGUCAUGGCUAUACAGGUGCAUGUGCCGUGUGGCAAACAGAAAUGUCAUCAAGUUGGCUGGUCCACUGUAGCUACUCCAGUCGUGGAUCUUUUGGAGGUUCCCUGGAUUCUGGUGGGACGAAUUUGAUGUAUUUCAUUGGCCGUUGGCGUCGAGAUAGGGAGGUUAUCAGCCGAGCUUGAGCGACAAGGGGCCUCCGUAAAUUUGUGCCAUGGCCUUCUGUUUGGCCAUCCAAACCCUCCUAUACAUCGGUUUGAACCCGAAGUGUGCUUCCAUGGCAUCUGCAGUACCUUAAUCGACGUGGUAGCAUCUGCUAUGAUCAGGGGCAUAAUGAAGGCCGAUAUGACAUGAUAAUCAAGCUUUCUGUGGUCACUAGAGAUCGAUGUGGCUAGACAAGUAUGAGGACCAUUGUACCAUUUUACCUCCCAAAUCCUUUUUCGCUGGUGGAGGCUGACCCGGAUUAGCCAUACGCAACCGCUCCGGAACUCCUUGCACUUGCCAUAGUACUUGCGGUGAUCCGACUCCAAUACCUUGUACUCAACCCCGUGGCGAAUGCUAUAGGUCUUCAUGCUAAGCACGACUUCCUCUUUAUCCUGAAACUGCUGACCGACCUGAAAUUCAGCUACACCUCCUGCAUUUUGGGAGUCUCUUGCCCCGAAACCAACAGGUACAGAGGGAUCCUCCUAAGGUGCCAUGGCAUCUAAGUCCAGAGCAGAGAAGUCCGGGAGGUACUGAUUAGUACCUGAACUAGAUGCUUUUCCACUCACAGGUGGAGUCGUUCGUGGUGUCUCCUCCUCGCUAUCAUCUGUAGCAAUCGUGCAGGCUCCACAUCAUCAUCAUCAUCAUCAUCAUCAUCCUGCAAUGCAUCCUCAACCCCAUUGGGUGCUCCAACCUCUCCCAAUACCAGAACACACGGAGGAGAACUGGGCGCCGCGAAAGCACUGUCUCCCAACGGUCCAGCCUCGCCAACUAAUGCAUCACAACUGCGAUUCAGAUUGAUGGCAAAGGAUGGUGAAGUCACUAAAUCUGGCUAGGGUGCAAUCACCGGCAUUGCUGAUGAGGAUCCAACAGGCAAUGCACUAGAGCUGGCUAGAUGUCCUGUGGAGUGCAUAUUCCUGUUCAAGCCUCCAGAAUUAGAUGCCACAUCCACAAUUUUUGGCAACAACUCCGGAGUCCUCACCUCAGGAAAUUGACGGCGGCAAUGAAACAGCACCUGCAUAUCUUCGUCACUGCUAAUAACGAAUGAAUCAUACUUUACAUCAUCGCGUAACACGGAAAUUGGAAUUCGAUAGAACAACUUCUCCACCCGUUUCACGCCAUGCAGUCCUAGUCUCUGGAGUAUAGUAUUCUUAAACUCAACGAAACUGGUCGAAGGUUUGAAAAAAACACUCAGCGGGUCCUUGUCAGUGAACUUAAUUCUCGAUCGCGUUUUCUUCUUAAUGGACCCUCUAUAGUGCACAAGAGCUACAAAACUCUCAUCACUAGCCAUUGUGAAUCUCACUCUUCUACAAAAUUUCGUAUACCAGCUCAUUUUUAUA